rnacentral:rRNA from 1 species
UACGAGGGGGGCGAGCGUUGUUCGGAAUUAUUGGGCGUAAAGGGUGCGUAGGCGGUUGUUUAAGUCUGUCGUGAAAUCCCCGGGCUCAACCUGGGAAUGGCGAUGGAUACUGGGCAGCUAGAGUGUGUCAGAGGAUGGUGGAAUUCCCGGUGUAGCGGUGAAAUGCGUAGAGAUCGGGAGGAACAUCAGUGGCGAAGGCGGCCAUCUGGGACAACACUGACGCUGAAGCACGAAAGCGUGGGGAGCAAACAGG